AACGAACGUUGGCGGCGUGGAUUAGGCAUGCAAGUCGUACGCGAAAGAGGGAGCAAUCCCUUGAGUAAAGUGGCGAACGGGUGAGUAACGCGUAGGAACCUGCCUUCGAGAUGGGGAUAACACUCCUAACGGGGUGCUAAUACCGAAUGACACUGCGGGAUCGCAUGGUUCUGCAGUCAAAGGUGGCCUCUGCUUGCAAGCUACCACUCGGAGAUGGUCCUGCGCCCAUUAGCUAGUUGGCGGGGUAAUGGCCCACCAAGGCGACGAUGGGUAGCCGAUCUGAGAGGAUGACCGGCCACACUGGGACU
rnacentral:rRNA from 1 species